rnacentral:rRNA from 1 species
GACGAACGCUGGCGGCGUGCUUAACACAUGCAAGUCGAACGGAAAGGCCCUGCUUUUGUGGGGUGCUCGAGUGGCGAACGGGUGAGUAACACGUGAGUAACCUGCCCUUGACUUUGGGAUAACUUCAGGAAACUGGGGUUAAUACCGGAUAGGAGCUCCUGCUGCAUGGUGGGGGUUGGAAAGUUUCGGCGGUUGGGGAUGGACUCGCGGCUUAUCAGCUUGUUGGUGGGGUAGUGGCUUACCAAGGCUUUGACGGGUAGCCGGCCUGAGAGGGUGACCGGCCACAUUGGGACUGAGGUACGGCCCAGACUCCUACGGGAGGCAGCAGUGGGGAAUAUUGCCCAAUGGGGGGAAGCCUGAUGCAGCAACGCCGCGUGCGGGAUGACGGCCCUCGGGUUGUAAACCGCUUUCGCCUGUGACGAAGCGUGAGUGACGGUAAUGGGUAAAGAAGCACCGGCUAACUACGUG